GCUUAUAACCUAGCUCUACCCAACUCGCAUGAAGAAAUAACCCCAUCAACUAUAAGUAAAACAUUUUACACACUUAGUAAAGGCGAUUAAAAAAUGUAUUGAAGCUAUAUAAAUAGUACCGCAAGGGAAAGGUGAAAUAAAAAUGAAAUAAUACUCAAGCACUAAUAAAGCAGAGACUAAACCUCGUACCUUUUGCAUCAUGGUCUAGCUAGUCAAAUCAAGCAAAACGCACUUUUAGUUUGACCCCCCGAAACUAAGCGAGCUACUUCGAAACAGCCUAAAGGGCCAACCCGUCUCUGUUGCAAAAGAGUGGGAAGAUUUCUAAGUAGGGGUGACAGACCUAUCGAGCUUAGAGAUAGCUGGUUACUCAGGAAAAGGAUUUAAGUCCUACCUUAAGCUUCUACAUAACCACGAUUACUUACAUAAACUUAAGAGCUAUUCAAAUAAGGUACAGCCUAUUUGAAACAGGAUACAACCUCUUACACAGGGUAAUGCACUUCAAUCAUAUAACAAAGUGGGCCUAAAAGCAGCCACCUUUAAAAAAGCGUUAAAGCUUUAUUAUAUCAACUAAACAAUUUCACUAACUUACCAAAACCCUUACCUCGUACUGAGCGACUUCAUAAAAUUAUGAAGAACCAUAUGCUAGAACUAGUAACAAGAAAUAGACCUUCUCCAAAAUGUAUGCAUAAGCCAAAAUGAACCACUCAUCGGCACUUACCGUUUAUGAACCAACAGUAGCAACUUCAACAAGAAAACCCUACUACUCAUGACGUUAACCUCACACCAGAACAUUCCAGGAAAGAUUAAAAGAAAGGGAAGGAACUCGGCAAAUAAUAACCUCGCCUGUUUACCAAAAACAUCGCCUCUUGACCUGCUAUAAGAGGUCCAGCCUGCCCAGUGACAAAGUUAAACGGCCGCGGUACCCUAACCGUGCAAAGGUAGCGCAAUCACUUGUUCUUUAAAUGAGGACUAGUAUGAAUGGCAUCACGAGGGUUAUACUGUCUCCCCCAUCUAAUCAGUGAAACUGACCCUCCCGUGGAAGAAGCGGGAAUAAAAAUAUAAGACGAGAAGACCCCAUGGAGCUUCAAACCCAACAUCAACUGCUUAAAUUUUACAACAUCCAAAUCCAACAGCCCUGAUGAUUGGUUUUCGGUUGGGGUGACCGCGGAGUAAAACGAAACCUCCGCGAUGAAAGGGACCCUUCCCUAAUCCAAGAGCUACAGCUCUAAGAAUCAAUAAAUUGACACACUUGACCCAAAUAUUUUUGAUCAACGAACCAAGUUACCCUGGGGAUAACAGCGCAAUCCAUUUCAAGAGCCCCUAUCGACAAUGGGUUUACGACCUCG
rnacentral:rRNA from 1 species